CUACGGGGGGCACCAGUGAGGAAUAUUGCACAAUGGGGGAAACCCUGAUGCAGCAACGCCGCGUGGAGGAUGACGCAUUUCGGUGUGUAAACUCCUUUUAUAUGUCAAGAAAAUGACGGUAGCAUAUGAAUAAGCACCGGCUAACUCCGUGCCAGCAGCCGCGGUAAUACGGAGGGUGCAAGCGUUACUCGGAAUCACUGGGCGUAAAGGACGCGUAGGCUGUUUGGCAAGUCAGGUGUGAAAUCCUAUGGCUCAACCAUAGAACUGCAUUUGAAACUGCCAGACUAGAGUAUGGGAGGGGGAGAUGGAAUUAGUGGUGUAGGGGUAAAAUCCGUAGAUAUCACUAGGAAUACCUAAAGCGAAGGCGAUCUCCUGGAACAUUACUGACGCUAAGGCGUGAAAGCGUGGGGAGCAAACAGGAUUAGAUACCCGCGUAGUC
rnacentral:rRNA from 1 species